rnacentral:lncRNA from 1 species
AGGGAGUUCCGCCUGCGGGGAUGAAGGGCUGACCGUGGGCAGAGGGGGCCUCUCAUAUUUGGCUGCCGGCUCCGGGUCGCGUCCCCACCGUUUCCCUCCUGCAUCUGGAAACCAUCGCCAUCCACGAAAGCGACACCGACACCCGCGCUCAAGCCUCGGAUUUCAGGGGCCGUAAGGCGGGGUCGGGUGACAGCGCGGCUUCCCGCCCCGUCGCAGCUGCCCCCAACUAGGCCCAGCUCAGUGAGGGAGAGUGAGGCGGCCGGGCCAAAGACUGAGUGACCGGGUGGGGGCUGUCCCCUGCCCCACUCUCCAGCCCAUGCGUCCCUGCGGUGGCCUCAGACCCUUCACCCCGCCCGACCUGGCUCACGUUGCAGGAAACGCGACACCGCAGGAUUCGUUUUCUGGGCCAGCCCGCCGGCUCCGCGCCCC